rnacentral:tRNA from 1 species
GCGGGCGUGGUGGAACCGGUAGACACACAGGACUUAAAAUCCUGAGGCCUCUGGCCGUGCGGGUUCGAGUCCCGCCGCCCGCACCA